rnacentral:lncRNA from 1 species
UGCGAUCAUUUUCCCUUGCAUAUACUGAGUGAGAGGGGACUUUUCUUUAUAUAGCCAUCUACUGAAGCCAUCAGGCUUCAGUAUAGACUGAAGCCAUCAGGCUUUAGUCUGCACCCAAGUAAACCUCUUAUAUACACUAGUGGAAUUGUCGGAAAAAAACUUGCUACAAAAUAUGAUGGAUGCCACAGACAAGUAGGUGGUAUCGAUGAUGGAAUGCCCCCUGAUUUGAAAAUCCAUGGACUGGAUAAAGCACUACUGCUUGAUUGGGGAGAUGACAAAAAAGGUGGUGAGCUUGUCUUUUCUCUCAAAGCUGCCACUUAAGCUGGUGAUAGGAAUGAGAAUGUUGGGACACUUGAUGUAAAUUCCAUUGGUAUUGAUGUAGAUUGCCCCCACAAUGUUUCCCGAGUUGAUCCCCCAAAAGAGAUGGGCAAUCCACCAAAAUGUCCAUGUCUCAUAUCCUGCACCCCACCAAAAGUACCAAACAAAGGCAGUGUUGUGGAGGAAAAAUGCCACACCUCCAGAGCAUCUUGAAACACCACAGAUUCUUACCCCCCACUUGCCGAUGUUACAAACGAAGUGCUUAUUUGAGUUGAACCUCCAAGAGAUAAGCUUGUCCCUUAGCUUGAGCUAAUUCUAAAGAACGAAGUCCUCAAACCUCUUCCUGGUGAUCUAGACUCAUAUCCAUGAACUUGCUGAGGCACUCCUCAAAUGACAUCACCAAAACUUCCACAACCUCCUCUAAGGUGCCCUUGACAGCUGCCAGAACCAGCUUCUUUCCCUUGUGAGAAAGAAUGAAUAGCUUCCUCUCGCAACCCCUGAGCAAUG